rnacentral:rRNA from 1 species
GACAUAAGUAACGAUAAAGCGGGUGAAAAGCCCGCUCGCCGGAAGACCAAGGGUUCCUGUCCAACGUUAAUCGGGGCAGGGUGAGUCGACCCCUAAGGCGAGGCCGAAAGGCGUAGUCGAUGGGAAACAGGUUAAUAUUCCUGUACUUGGUGUUACUGCGAAGGGGGGACGGAGAAGGCUAUGUUGGCCGGGCGACGGUUGUCCCGGUUUAAGCGUGUAGGCUGGU